rnacentral:rRNA from 1 species
UACGAAGGGGGCUAGCGUUGCUCGGAAUCACUGGGCGUAAAGGGUGCGUAGGCGGGUCUUUUAAGUCAGGGGUGAAAUCCUGGAGCUCAACUCCAGAACUGCCUUUGAUACUGAAAGUCUUGAGUAUGGGAGAGGUGAGUGGAACUGCGAGUGUAGAGGUGAAAUUCGUAGAUAUUCGCAAGAACACCAGUGGCGAAGGCGGCUCACUGGCCCAUUACUGACGCUGAGGCACGAAAGCUAGGGGAGCAAACGGG